GGAUUCACCAACUCCCUUCUCUAGUAGGCGCAGGUCCAGAGAGGGGAAGCAAGACCCAAGCCACCAUUGAGUUGUUGGGUAUGUGGGAGAUCGGCCGUGUCUCCUACCUGGGAUCAAGAAGUAGGUCAUUAAAAGCCAUUGUCCCUGUGAGAUAUACUCAAAUUUCCAGUUGUUUGAGUUUAGCAGUGACCCAUGCACUCUCAGCUUGAUGGGUG